rnacentral:rRNA from 1 species
AGUCUAAAACGGGCGAAGUGAGUAGCACAUAGCAGACCCGAAACCGAGUGAUCUACCCAUGGUCAGGUUGAAGCUCGUUUAACCGCGAGUGGAGGACCGAACUAAUGUCAGUUGAAAAUGGCUUGGAUGAACUGUGGGUAGCAGGUGAAAUGCCAAUCGAACACGGAGAUAGCUGGUUCUCUCCGAAAUGCAUUUAGGUGCAGCGUUACGUGUUCUGUUCCGGAGGUAGAGCACUGGAUGGUCUAGGGGCCCUACCAGGUUACCAAAAUCAACCAAACUCCGAAUGCCGGGACAUAAGAGCGUAGCAGUGAGACUGCGGGAGAUAAGUUUCGUAGUCAAAAGGGAAACAGCCCAGACCAACAGCUAAGGUCCCUAAGUAUUGGCUAAGUGUAAAAGGAUGUGAGAUUGCAUAGACAACCAGGAUGUUGGCUUAGAAGCAGCCACCGUCUAAGAAGUGCGUAACAGCUUACUGGUCGAAUGUGAUUUUGCGCCGAUAAUGUAAGGGGGCUCAAGCCAAUCACCGAAGCUUUGGAUUGUCACGAAAGUGGCAGUGGUAGGAGAGCGUUGAAUGCGGGUUGAAGUCAUAGCGUAAGCAGUGGUGGACUGCAUUCAAGUGAGGAUGCCGGAAUGAGUAGCGAAAAGAGAUGUGAGAAUCAUCUCCGCCGAAAGCCUAAGGGUUCUUAAGGAAGGAUCGUCCUCUUGAGUUUAGUCGGGCCUAAGGCGAGGCCGAAUGGCGUAGUCGAUGGACACAAGGUGUAUAUUCCUUGACCAGUGGCCAGUGUUUGAGCGAUGGGGUGACGCAGCGUAGUGGGACCAUGCACGGGAUUGGUUGUCCGUGUUCAGGUGUAGGGAUUGUCCGGUAGGUAAGUCCGCCGGGCGCUAGAUUUCGGCACUUGACGAGUGGAUCAGAGAUGUGAAGCGAAGUGGUUUUUCACGCUGCCAAGAAAACCCCCUAGUUAGCUGGUUGCUGCCCGUACCGCAAACCGACACAGGUAGGCAGGUAGAGGAUACUAAGGCGUGCGAGAUAACCAUCGUUAAGGAACUAGGCAAUCUAACCCCGUAACUUCGGGAGAAGGGGUGCCCUGGGUGGAUGCUGCUGUAACGCAGUUAUUUACUUGGGGUCGCAGUGACAAGGCUCGAGCGACUGUUUAACAAAAACACAGGUCUCUGCUAAGCCGAAAGGCGACGUAUAGGGGCUGACACCUGCCCAAUGCCAGAAGGUUAACAGGAGAGCUUAGGCGCAAGCCGAAGGUUUGAAUCGAAGCCCUGGUGAAUGGCGGCCGUAACUAUAACGGUCCUAAGGUAGCGAAAUUCCUUGUCGGGUAAGUUCCGACCUGCACGAAAGGUGUAACGACUUGAGCGCUGUCUCAACGAUGGACUCGGCGAAGUUGUAGCAUGCGUGAAGAUGCGCAUUACCCGCAUCAGGACGGAAAGACCCCGUGGAGCUUUACUACACCUUGAUAUUGGGUUUUGGUUUAGCAUGUAGAGAAUAGGUGGGAGCCGCAAGGCAGCAGUGGAAUACCACCCUUGUUAAGCUGGAAUUCUAACUAGUGUUCGUUAUCCGGGCAUAGGACAGUAUCAGGCGGGUAGUUUGACUGGGGCGGUCGCCUCCCAAAAUGUAACGGAGGCGUCCAAAGGAUCGCUCAGGCUGGUUGGAAAUCAGCCGUUAGAGUAUAAAGGCAUAAGCGAUCUUGACUGCGAGAGCGACGGCUCGAGCAGGUGGGAAACCAGGGCUUAAUGACCCUCUGGCACAGUGUGGAAUGGCCAGGGUUCAUCGGAUAAAAGUUACCCCGGGGAUAACAGGCUUAUCUUGCCCAAGCGCUCACAGCGACGGCAAGGUUUGGCACCUCGAUGUCGGCUCGUCGCAUCCUGGGGCUGGAGUCGGUCCCAAGGGUUGGGCUGUUCGCCCAUUAAAGCGGUACGCGAGCUGGGUUCAGA